rnacentral:rRNA from 1 species
AUUGAACGCUGGCGGCAGGCCUAACACAUGCAAGUCGAACGGUAACAGGAAGCAGCUUGCUGCUUCGCUGACGAGUGGCGGACGGGUGAGUAAUGUCUGGGAAGCUGCCUGAUGGAGGGGGAUAACUACUGGAAACGGUAGCUAAUACCGCAUAAUGUCGCAAGACCAAAGAGGGGGACCUUCGGGCCUCUUGCCAUCGGAUGUGCCCAGAUGGGAUUAGCUUGUUGGUGGGGUAACGGCUCACCAAGGCGACGAUCCCUAGCUGGUCUGAGAGGAUGACCAGCCACACUGGAACUGAGACACGGUCCAGACUCCUACGGGAGGCAGCAGUGGGGAAUAUUGCACAAUGGGCGCAAGCCUGAUGCAGCCAUGCCGCGUGUAUGAAGAAGGCCUUUGGGUUGUAAAGUACUUUCAGCGGGGAGGAAGGGAGUAAAGUUAAUACCUUUGCUCAUUGACGUUACCCGCAGAAGAAGCACCGGCUAACUCCGUGCCAGCAGCCGCGGUGAUACGGAGGGUGCAAGCGUUAAUCGGAAUUACUGGGCGUAAAGCGCACGCAGGCGGUUUGUUAAGUCAGGUGUGAAAUCCCCGGGCUCAACCUGGGAACUGCAUCUGAUACUGGCAAGCUUGAGUCUCGUAGAGGGGGGUAGAAUUCCAGGUGUAGCGGCGAAAUGCGUAGAGAUCUGGAGGAAUACCGGUGGCGAAGGCGGCCCCCUGGACGAAGACUGACGCUCAGGUGCGAAAGCGUGGGGAGCAAACAGGAUUAGAUACCCUGGUAGUCCACGCCGUAAACGAUGUCGACUUGGAGGUUGUGCCCUUGAGGCGUGGCUUCCGGAGCUAACGCGUUAAGUCGACCGCCUGGGGAGUACGGCCGCAAGGUUAAAACUCAAAUGAAUUGACGGGGGCCCGCCCAAGCGGUGGAGCAUGUGGUUUAAUUCGAUGCAACGCGAAGAACCUUACCUGGUCUUGACAUCCACGGAAGUUUUCAGAGAUGAGAAUGUGCCUUCGGGAACCGUGAGACAGGUGCUGCAUGGCUGUCGUCAGCUCGUGUUGUGAAAUGUUGGGUUAAGUCCCGCAACGAGCGCAACCCUUAUCCUUUGUUGCCAGCGGUCCGGCCGGGAACUCAAAGGAGACUGCCAGUGAUAAACUGGAGGAAGGUGGGGAUGACGUCAAGUCAUCAUGGCCCUUACGACCAGGGCUACACACGUGCUACAAUGGCGCAUACAAAGAGAAGCGACCUCGCGAGAGCAAGCGGACCUCAUAAAGUGCGUCGUAGUCCGGAUUGGAGUCUGCAACUCGACUCCAUGAAGUCGGAAUCGCUAGUAAUCGUGGAUCAGAAUGCCACGGUGAAUACGUUCCCGGGCCU